CCGACGAAACACUGGGCCGCCUGCAGCGGAGCGCGCGAACUUAACCACUUGGCCACGGGGCCAGCCCCGAUAAACAAGUCUUCUGUUGAUGACUUUUGGUAUUCAGAUAUAAGAAUCCUGGAAUUAUGGAGUUAUUCUGAAAUCCAUUCUGCACGUCAGGUCUUAUGCUUCAUCAUUGUGUCCCUUCUCGUGCCUCUGUCCUCAGUAUGUUUGAUGAUUUUCUGUUCAAGCACAUUAGCAGGCCUUCUUUCUCUGGAACACAUUUAUCCCACUUUUUAAAAACACAUCUGAAAACCUGUUAGGGCCCCAAAGCCUUUCCUGACUAGAAAGAGAAAAAGAGGAGAGCCCGAUUAGUGAUUUUUGGAUGAAAAUGUCCAUCAGAGCGAACAGGGACUCUAUCCUCGGGCCACUAUAUCAGAGGACCAGGGAGAUAAUGCCAGAAAAAGACUUGCUGCUGAAGGUUGUGUGCCCUCAAUUCCACCAGGUAUCCACUGAUUGACAGAAACCAAUGGGCAAACAUCGACUUAGUCUGUCUGCCUCUGUCAAUUUAGUGGACACUGAGUCUGUGUACCUUGAUUAUUGGGAAGGAUACCUAUUAAGUAUUUGUGGGCUUUUCUUUUCUAUUUAAAUGAAAAUGCUUUCUAAAUAUCCUAGAGCAAACCCUCCUACUUUCUCAUUCUACCACUUGCUGAAGCACUUACUAUAUUCAAGGGUUGAGAUUAAUACGUAUUUUAACUAAUACAAAAACUAUGGGAUUGAUUUUGUUAGUUGUAUUUUGCAACUAAAUGACUCAGAUUAAAUAAUUUGCUCAUGGUCACAUAGUCAGUAGGUGGGUAGAAUCAGAUUUAGGUUUUGUGUCUUUCUAAAUGAAAAGACUAUAUUCUUUGCUUUGGGAAUCAAAAUGCUUUAAGCUGGCCCAAAUGCACUACACUUUUUCUUUGACUCAAGUGAACUUGGAAGGUCCUGUGUACAUUAAAAAAAUUAACAAAAUGCUGAAGAUCUAAAUCUUGUAAGAUAUUUUCAAACAGUACUCCCAAAAUAGAUAAGUAAACAAACAAAUCCUACAAAAUAUAGAAAUGCAGUAACAUUAUACCAUAUUAUUUGGUUAAGAAAUCACUUAAGAUUUUAAAAUAAAUUUACUCAGCCUGCAUUUUUAUUUACAUUCUAGUACUCAGAUAAUUUUCAAACAUCUUUAGAAAUGACUUAGGAAUUACAUUUCCCUCAAUUUCCUCUCUUACCCCCUAAGUCCUUCUAUUGCUUCAUUUGCGAUCAUAGCCUGUUCUAAUUCUGUUCAAACUACAAUUUUUAAGAAAAAGAAAAGCCAUUUUUUCAUCUCUCCUUGUGUUAGAGAUAAAGCUUUCUCUCUCUUCUCCAAGCACCCUUCAAUAAAUGGAUUAUGCUUCUGAGGCCCAGGUAGUUCCAGACCACAACAAAAACACCACACACAGAGCUGUCACUUAGAAACCAAGGCGUCAAUAGAUACUUCAAAUUCCUGCUUAAUUUAUUUCACAAAUCCAACCACGGCAGAAGCUUGUCGAUCACUUCCUUGCCAUGGUUUUUUUUUUUUUGUUCCUGUUUAUAUACUCCACUGUUUUGAUUCUUAUCUGGUCCCUAUCAGGCAAGUUCAGGCAGAUACCAAAGAUCAUUCAAAGUUAACAGAAAUCAGAGCUUCAUAAGACAAUGUGAGCCCAUCACAGAAUGUUGCUGAGUUCUGCCCUGUUUCAAACUACUAGGAACACAGUUGCAAAGCCAGCUGUAUAAGGCUGGGGAGGAACUCAGUGGAAAGG